CACAAACUUUCCAUUUCUGGAAGGGAAUCCCGCAGAGCCCAGUCAGUUCCUCUCAAUGCGUAUCUUACUUACGUCACAUUACCCUGGUUCACUAUCAUUACAGAUAUUCUUGACCAUCGAACUGGCCCUAUCCUUACUUUCUAGCACGUAUAGAGGUCCAUCUUCAUCUGAGUCAAAUAUAGUUUAUAUGAGAAAUAUCUGACGUGAAAUAAAAACCUGUGCGUAUCAUUUAAUUUUCUUCAGCUAUACUAGAUAAUGGAAGUAAAGUUUGUUUACUUUGUGAUUUAGAUUUUCUUUUUUUCUUGAUGAAAGGAAAAUCAGGCUCAGGUUAUUCAUCUCAGAAACAAUCUUUCACAUAUAUCGUAAGAUUGCCUUGCCACAAGCCUCCAUUUUGUCAGCUAAGAAUGGUCACAAUUCAGGCUCUUGAUAAGUUGAAUGCUUUUUGCCAUAAGGAGAGGAGAAAAAGAAGCAGUCAUCGUCACCAGUAUUUCUCAUAAAAACCUCAGUUGGAAAUUAAAAAGCAAAUGAACUCAAACAAAAGGGAAAAGUGUUUUUGUAUGAUUCUAUGUUAUUAGUUUUAUAUAAUGUUUUUGGAAGGGUUAUUAGCUUGAAAUCUCCAGUAUUUUACAUGUACAUUUUAAGAUUUAUGUUAUUUUGGCAGCUCUGUGCUAUAUUUAAAACUGUGAUUAAUUUUUUAUGCUUGUGUGGAAAAAUGUGAUCUUUAAGAGGCUGACGAAAGCAAUAUAUGUUCUUUAUUUUGUACAGAGAAAGUUUAAUUUUUUGUAAGAGAAGUAAAGGUGUGGAGAGAUACGUAGUACCAAAAUACUGCAUCACAUGUAAAAGGAAAACUUGUUAGAAGAUUUGAAAUAAACAGAAGUGCAUAGAUGUAGCAGCAGAAUAAGUGUAAGUGUGUUGAACAGAAAUAGCUAAACUUUGUGUAUUGAAAAAUGGUCUUGAAAUGUAAGUGUUUGAUGCCAUCUGUAGAUUUUUAAUCCAAUAGGAGACAAAAGCAGGGAAUGAAACAAAGUGAUAUUUAAGUUAAGGGAAAACUCCUUGCUUAUCUGCAUUUUGUGAUGCAUUUGAGAAUGGCUGCCAGUAAACCCCUGCAUGCACCUCUAACAUUUAGGAACCAUUUCGGGCAUUACCGUGAUGCUAAUCUAUUUCCCAUAAAACCAAAGUUGAUUCAGAAUCUGAUUCUGUGCUCAUGUUCUAGUCAGUGGUAAGCUUUCCUUUGCCUUGUCUAUUUCGAGUUCUUUACCUUAUGAUAGAUUGUAGACAUGUAGUCUGUGAUUUUCUAGGUUAGAUUUUUAUUCUUUCAGAUCUCAGAAGUCAUUAUUUUUUUAGGUUUCCCUCUUUUAUAUUUUCUUUUACUCUGUUAAUUUAUAGAAUGUAAAGUUAGGAAGGCUAGAUGUUUUGAGAGACAAGAUUGGUAUUAGUGUAGAGGACCUCCCUUCUGCUAUAGAAGUCAGUUUUGUUUUAAGUGAAUAUUAUUUUUUGGGAUUGAGAUUUGUAAGUUAUCUUGUUUGCGUUUUGUAGUUUUGUUAUCGGGAAACCAACAGUUAACGUCCGAAUGUCAUCUAUUUUGUGAUCAUCCCAAACUUGAAUAAUAUAUAUACAGUAUGUAAAAGAUGUGCCAUAAUCUUAGGUGUUGUUUUGUCUAAUGCAACAGAAUAGGAAAAAAUGCAGGUUUCUCCUUAUCUUUUUUUUUAUUAUUUUUAUAUAUAUUUUUUUUCUUCUUCUUCUUCUUCCUCUUCUUCUUCUUCUUCCUCUUCUUCUUCUUUAAGGUGCUGGUUAUUAUGAACCAGACACACUAGCUAAAUGUGUACAAUGUAUCUGCCAAUGAGGGACCUCCUUUUUUCUAGAACUUUACAUGUGUGGCUGGAUAUCCAUCUAACUUUUUUCCUCAGAUGAACUUCUCUCUCACACUUUGUAUUUCAUUUUAUAUAUUUCUCGAGGAAAUAACAAAAAAAAAAAAAAAAAUGUAAAGCGAAAAUAAUAUUUUAAAAAUCUCACUGGCUUCCUUUUGAAGUCAUGAGAGGUGUCUUUCCUCCAUCACAGGAAGAUGUUGAAUUUUCUGUGCUGUGGGUGGAAUAGUUUUCAGAUAGGUGUUGAAAGUAUUGUUCUUCAAAGAUCUUGGUAUGAAAAUUAAA